UGUGUAAAAAAAAGCCAAGGCUAGUAAAAAAAAUAAAAUAAAAAGGCAGCCUUUCAUGUGUAAAAAAAAAAAGCCAAGGCUAGAAAAAAAAAUUGAGCAAAAAACAGAAAUAUGCUCAAAAGAAUAAGAUGACUUUGUUUAGAUGGUAGAAAAAUCUCAAGUUUGGGGUGGUGAGCUGUCAGAAUUUUGCACGCAUUGAGUGAGAUGUGAAGGAUGUUGUGAAGGAUGGUAUGAUGGAUGUGCUAGUAUUUAAAAUGUGAUAAGCUACUUAACCAAAUAUGAUCACACCUUUACCAUAAGCCCCAUUACAUCCAAAUGAAUAAGACCUUUUGAUAUAUGCAUCAUAUUGACUUGUGAGUGAUGAAUUUUGCUUGAGUUUGGGAGAAAGAUCUUAUGUGCUUAAAAUGAAGAAUAGCCGGAAGAAAUUCUCUUUAUGAAUUAGUGACGAUGGUUUGAGACUCCCAAGACAUAAAUCGAACUUACAUUGAAGCAUUGGGAUGCCUAGCUCUUAGGGAAUUAGUUCGUGUACAAUUCUUGUUCUAAAGUCUUACCCGAGAGUGAAUUUGGGGUCAACCUAGUUUCUCUAAAUGAUUCGUGUGAUUUGACGUGACUUGAAGUAGAGGAUUAUCUAAUGUCUUGUGAAUGUGCCUAUUUGUCUAACUUGAUUGAGGGCGAGCAAGACUUAUGUCUGGUGGUAUUUGAUGUGUGUGGUAAUUGUUUAACUUGUUAUUAUACAAUGGAUGGAACGGAGGGUAGCGCACUACUGCUCCAGUUCAAUUUUGACCACCUCACUAUUUAUUCCAGUGGGUUGAAGGGUAUAAAGCUGCAACCAAUAUUUGCUUCAAUAUUCAACCAUUUAUUUUUAUAAACCUAACUUUAGUUCGAUAUUUAGUGUGUCAUUUCAUACUAAAGCCAUCAAUGAAGAACUACUGCAAAAUCUCUCUGAUGCUCUACACUUGUUGGUACUUGAUAAAAUUGGGGUUGGACUUGCUUUGUCUAAUUCUGAAGAACAUGAUAUAUUCACUAUACCUGGAUGUGUUGUUUGUUAAUCCCCUCUUUGUACAUACAUUUAGAUAUAAUUUUUUGUUUAGUUGUAGGAAGUGGAAUACAUACAACAUUUUAUUAUUUUUAUCUCCUUGGAAUUCUUCUACAUGUUGCACUAAACCUGUAACCCUUUUCUUGGUUGUAUGCAGGAAAAACUUUCCGUUUGAGUCAGAUUACAGAGCAAUCAUGCUGCUUUGAGGCUACUGAGAUAAUUCAGCAUAUUCUAGUGUUACUCGUAGUCGAUUUGAUGCCCUCUCUAAGCAUUUAGAUUCAUUCUUGCAAAUGUGAUCUCUUGUGCAACUAAGGUGUUUUCCGUGAUAGUUCCUAGUGCAUAAAUAGACUAGAAAGUACUUAGUCGAUCAGAAGGUCGAGGGUGGUAGGGGACUGAGUUCUUAACAUAAAAGAAACGGGUGGAAAGGGUGGAAAAUUGAAGGCACAAGUCUAUUUAUUGAUUUUUGAGCUAGCUUCGCUUGAUCUUCUGCCUCUUGGUUGUUGCACCUAUAUUUUUAUACUUAUUUAAUUCACUCUUUGUUACAUAUUGCAGAUUUAAAAUUAAUCUGUUAAAUAUAUUAUGUUUUUGUGAGUUAUACAGUGCCUGACGUUUUUCUACUUUUUUCUAAUCCACUGUUUGCUGUCUUACUGCUUUAUAAAUAACACAUACAUAGUAUCCUAUUUUUCUGUCUCAUAUGCCUGUACAAAUAUGUGCUAUAUUAGUGUUUCUCUGAUAUAUAAACUCCCAUUGAUUGUCAAAUCUUGGCAUCUUAAUAUCUGUUUUUACAGGCUCAUUCCCAAGUACUUACUAGACACAUUUCCUUUUUUACUUUGGCAUUAGGUUUGUUGUACUUGCAUCUAAAAAAGAAAUCAUGGGCCUUGGAAGCUGGUUGAGCAGUCAAUUGGGUCUAUAACAAAUGUUUAUAGCAUUUACCGUACAAUAAGCAUUGCAAUAUCUGCACUUUGAGAAGAUUUUGCCUUUUAUACAUAUGCAGUUUUCAGUUUCUCAUUUUGCCCUACUGUUAACAUGGGCAAUUGUUUUGUAUAGGUUCUUGCAUUGCUGAAAAAAUGUUUGGUAUAGAUUCAAGAGAGUUAAAUGCUCCCUCCGAGGAAAGUUACCCGAAGGGCCAACUGGAACGUAAUACAAAGCGCUUGGCAGAUGUCGUCUCAGAUGCUUCAAAUUUUCAGUCAUUCAUUAUGAUAAACUUUGGAAGCUUUAGCGACAAUCUUUCUACUCCCUCUGGAGAGUUUGUAUCUGGCUGGUGCUCGUCUAACAUUCUAGUUUGUGAAGAGGAUGCACCAUUAAAAUGAGAAGGAUCUGUUUCUCAACAUGUUCAUUCGGGUCAUAGAGAAGGACUAUUAGAAACUGUCAGAUGGCAAAGUGUCCACAGUUAGCAAUAACUUGUGUUCACUGUUAUGUCAUGCAGAGUCUUUAGUUCCAGGAUUUUUGAAUGAAGAUGAUGUACUACUGCUGAGGGAAUACGCUUCAUAAAAAGGAAUUUUAGUGCCAGAAAAGGAAGGUAGGAAGGUAAGACUGAUCUUGUAAAGAUGACAGGAAAGAUGGUAGUAUAUAUUUAAAGACAAUUUAAUCGAUCACUCAAAAUUAAAUGUUGGAAUGUUUCGAAGAUGAUCUAAAUUGACAGAGUAUUAUGUUUUUUUAUUCUGAUAAAGAUAUAACGGUAGAGGUUUGUUUUUAGCAUUUUGGUAUGCGAGAAGGAACCAGUUUCCAGCAGGUGGGAAAUCCGAGCUUUAUUGUAGUCGUCAAAUCCUGGGUCUUGUGAGUGUGCUUAUUUGUCUAAGUUGCUUGAGGGUGAGCAAGACUUCUGUUUGGGGGUAUUUGAUGUGUGUGGUUAAUUUAACUUGUUAUUAUACAAUGGAUGGAAUGGAGGGUAGCAUACUACUACUCCAGUUCAAUUUUGACCACCUCACUAUUAAUUCCAGUGAGUUGAAGGGUAUAAAGCUGAAACUAAUAUUUGUAUUUUUAUAAACCUGAAUUUAGUUCGAUAUUUAGUGUGUCAUUUCAUACUAAAGCCAUCAAUGAAGAACUACUGCAAAAUCUUUCUGAUGCUCUACACUUGUCGGUACCUGAUAAAAUUAGGGUUGGACUUCUUUGUCUAAUUUUGAAGAACACGAUAUCAUCACGAUACCAGGUUGUGUGGUUAGUUAUUCUCUUCUUUGUACAUACAUUUAGAUAUAAUUUUUUGUUUAGUUGUAGGAAGUGGAAUACAUACAACAGUCUAUUAUUUUUGUAUCCUUGGAAUACUUCUACCUGUUGCACUAAACCUGUAACCCUUUUCUUGGCUGUAUGCAGGAAAGAAUUUCUAUCUGAUUAAGAUUAGGGUUUAGAUUACUGAUUAAGAUUACUGAGCUGUCUGCCAAUUCUGCUGCGUUUGAGGCUACUGAUAUAAUUUAGCAUAUUCUCGUGUCACUCGUAGUCGAUUUGAAGGCCUCUCUAAGCAUUUAGAUUCAUUCUACUUGAAGGCCUCUCUAAGCAUUUAGUUUCAUUUUUUCAAAAUGUUAUCCCUUGUGCAACUAAGGUGUUUUCUGUGAUAGUUCCUCGUGCAUAAAUAGAGUAGAAUGUACUUGGUCGAUCUGAAGGUCGGGGGUGGUAGGUGGAGUUUUUAACUUAUAAGAAACGGGGGGAAGGUGUGGAAAACAAAAGGCACAAGUCUAUUUAUUGGUUUUUGACCUUGCUUUGCGUGGUCUUCUGCUUCCUGGUUGUUGCGCCUAUAUUUUUAUAUUUAUUUUAUUCAUUAUUUGCUGCCUUUUGCAGCUAAUUACUGAACUGUUACAUAUAUUAAAUUUUUGUUUGUUAUACUGUGACUGACGUUUUUCAUCUUUUUCUAAUCCACCUUUUGCUACCUUGCAGCAUAAUUAAUUAAUACAUACAUUGCAUCCUACUUUUCUUUGUCUAUGCCGUGUACAAAUAUGUGCAAUAUUAGUGUUUCUUUGAUAUGUAUACCCAUCGAUUGUCAAAUCUUGGCUUCUUAAUAUAUCUGUUAACUAGACACAUUUCCUUUUUUACUUUGACAUUCAGUUUGCUGUACUUGUAUCUAAAAAGAAAUCAUGGGCCUUGGAAGCUGGUUGAGCACGCAAUUAGUGUCACGUAAAGAUACUUUCUAUGAGGAUCAGUCAUUAAACAUCAAUGUGUGACUCACCGUACAUAGGGUAUUGCUUUACGUGCUAUUUUAGAUGCUUUGAGGAAGCCUGCAGAUUCAGAAGUUUGUUCCUUCCUAGUUUAUCAGUUAAUGUUAUUAUUGUGAAUUUCAGUUUUACCUUGGAUUUAUAACAUUCUGAUGUUUUCCUUUGAGAGUAUGGCAUUGGAGCAGUUUGUGGACCAUCUCAUUGAGUGGCCACAGUAUAGAGAGGGCACUCAACGGUAUUUCAGCGGCUUAUACCGAACCUGAUGGUGGCCAUAGUGCCAAUACUGCUCACCGACGCGGUCAUAUUCAAUCUUCAGCUCCACAUAUAGAGCAAUUCCCUCUUCGAUCCCACUGCAACAGAGACCACCAAGUUCUCUGAGUUCACUCCUAAUUACAUGAAGCCAUCACAACACACCUACCCUUCCUA